rnacentral:lncRNA from 1 species
GGAAUGAGCUCUGGGUUUAGCUGGCAUUAGAAUCGUGGAGUCCUUGGUCUUCUGGUGGGCAGACAGGCUCUGAGGGGCCACAAGCUUUCCGAACCUUGUGCAUGUGGUGGGGAGCAGGAUUCCCACCCACCUCUGCAGUCUGAGCUUCGCCACUGCAUGGGUCCCCUGCCCAUGUGGGAGGAAAGGCACUGGGGACCUUGGGCUAUAGCAGGUCCAGGCGGGCCACAGGGGAGGGUGAGGGGUGUACAAGCCUGGCCCAUGGACAUGCAGAGAGCCCUCGCUAGGAGAUUGGCUAGCCCCACACAAAUAAACCCAGACAUGGGGGCUGGGCCUGGGACUCACUGGGGACUGCUCCAGGGCAGGGCUGGAGUUUCACUUUUCACCCAGCUCAGAUGGGGAGUGACAGGGCUGGGGGCUGCCUGACAGUUCAAAGAGGGUAUGUGGCUCUGAGGUCGCAGUUCAGCAGAGAAGUCAUUCCCCAGCCCCCUCAGCUGGGAAAAAUGUGUUCAAGCUGUUCCCCCU